GUGAGGAAUUUUCCGCAAUGGGCGAAAGCCUGACGGAGCAAUGCCGCGUGAAGGAUGAAGGCCUAUGGGUUGUAAACUUCUUUUCUCAGAAAAGAAUUAUGACGGUAUCUGAGGAAUAAGCAUCGGCUAACUCUGUGCCAGCAGCCGCGGUAAGACAGAGGAUGCAAGCGUUAUCCGGAAUGAUUGGGCGUAAAGCGUCUGUAGGUUGUUUAAAAAGUAUUCUGUCAAAGAUUAGGGCUUAACCCUAGAUAGGCAGAAUAAACUUUUAAGCUAGAGUUUGGUAGAGGCAGAGGGAAUUCCCGGUGGAGCGGUGAAAUGCGUAGAUAUCGGGAGGAACACCAAAGGCGAAGGCACUCUGCUUGGACAAUACUAACACUGAGAGACGAAAGCGAGGGGAGCAAAUGGGAUUAGAUACCCGAGUAGUCC
rnacentral:rRNA from 1 species